AAGAUAGUAGUUUAUAAAGAACAUUUGUUUUGCACCCAAAAAGUAAUUGUAUCUAUCUUU
rnacentral:tRNA from 1 species